rnacentral:rRNA from 1 species
GAGUUUGAUCCUGGCUCAGGAUGAACGCUAGCGGCAGGCAUAAUACAUGCAAGUUGAACGGGAUUCAGAUAGCAAUAUUUGAUGAGAGUGGCGCACGGGUGCGUAACACGUAUGCAACUUACCUUAAACUGGGGGAUAGCCCGUGGAAACAUGGAUUAAUACCCCAUAGUAUAUUGAUUAGGCAUCUGAUUAAUAUUAAAGUUACGGCGGUUUAAGAUGGGCAUGCGCGUCAUUAGCUAGAUGGGGAGGUAACGGCUCACCAUGGCGACGAUGACUAGGGGGUCUGAGAGGAUUUCCCCCACACUGGUACUGAGACACGGACCAGACUCCUACGGGAGGCAGCAGUAGGGAAUAUUGGGCAAUGGACGCAAGUCUGACCCAGCCAUGCCGCGUGCAGGAAGACUGCCCUAUGGGUUGUAAACUGCUUUUAUCAGGGAGAAACCCUCUUACGUGUAAGAGGCUGACGGUACCUGAGGAAU